rnacentral:rRNA from 1 species
GAAGAACGCUGGCGGCGUGCCUAAUACAUGCAAGUCGAGCGAAUGGAUUAAGAGCUUGCUCUUAUGAAGUUAGCGGCGGACGGGUGAGUAACACGUGGGUAACCUGCCCAUAAGACUGGGAUAACUCCGGGAAACCGGGGCUAAUACCGGAUAACAUUUUGAACCGCAUGGUUCGAAAUUGAAAGGCGGCCUCGGCUGUCACUUAUGGAUGGACCCGCGUCGCAUUAGCUAAUUGGUGAGGUAACGGCUCACCAAGGCAACGAUGCGUAGCCGACCUGAGAGGGUGAUCGGCCACACUGGGACUGAGACACGGCCCAGACUCCUACGGGAGGCAGCAGUAGGGAAUCUUCCGCAAUGGACGAAAGUCUGACGGAGCAACGCCGCGUGAGUGAUGAAGGCUUUCGGGUCGUAAAACUCUGUUGUUAGGGAAGAACAAGUGCUAGUUGAAUAAGCUGGCACCUUGACGGUACCUAACCAGAAAGCCACGGCUAACUACGUGCCAGCCGCCGCCGUAA